AUUGCCAUUGGCAUAGAGCCAGCCAGUGGCUGUGGUACGGGCCUCCGUGCCUGAGAUCCUCCGAGGGACAUCAACUAUCGCCACAAACUUAAGUGCAGAAUGUCUAUGAUACGCUUUCGAGUUGUGAGCGAGCUUAACAUGUAGUUACCACAUAUUUACACUUACUUGAGGGUUAUCUUUGCAACAUUGGAUGUUGUAGACAUUGAUGUCCGAGCAGUUGUUGCUUUCGUUUAUUACUUGGCUAGUGCUUGUUGUUCUUUGUUUGGCUAUUGAUGCAGUAGAAGCGUUAGAGAUAUCUUGCGCAGCAUUCUUCGAUGAAAUACCGUUACGAGGAGCCUUUCUAACAGGAAAGUCAAGUUUAGUUACGGUGCAAAGUGCCGCUAUGAAAAAUAUCAAAAGUUAAAAAGUCAAUCAAUUAUUUUUACUUAUCAGUAUUAUAAGUUUUCACUUGAUGCUUUGAGUUCAUUUGAAAUAAACAACAAAAAGAGCAUAAAAAUGUCUGAUGCAACAAGCAAAAUUCUGCAGGGAGUAUGUGUAUUAUAUGUGAAUCCCUUAAAGUAAGCCAAACGUUCAAUACGGAUCUAUGCUUAUUCACACUCAAGUUUUGACCUGAACGUACCUACACGUAUGCACCUAUCUAUUGGUGAUGGAUUUUCAUGAUGCCUUCCGAAUGUUAGUACACCAUGCGAACCACCUUCCUACAUUAGGCAUAUGAUCCGAAAACAUUACCAAGCCGAACAUAUUUCUUUAAAUAAAUCGUCCCGCUGCCGGUAAAUAAAAGAAUUUGAAGGAGA